rnacentral:rRNA from 1 species
UAGAGUUUGAUCAUGGCUCAGAUUGAACGCUGGCGGCAGGCUUAACACAUGCAAGUCGAGCGGUAACAGGAAUAGCUUGCUAUUUGCUGACGAGCGGCGGACGGGUGAGUAGUGCUUGGGAAUAUGCCUUAUGGUGGGGGACAACAGUUGGAAACGACUGCUAAUACCGCAUAAUGUCUACGGACCAAAGGGGGGGAUCUUCGGACCUCUCGCCAUUUGAUUAGCCCAAGUGAGAUUAGCUAGUUGGUAAGGUAAUGGCUUACCAAGGCGACGAUCUCUAGCUGGUUUGAGAGGAUGAUCAGCCACACUGGGACUGAGACACGGCCCAGACUCCUACGGGAGGCAGCAGUGGGGAAUAUUGCACAAUGGGGGAAACCCUGAUGCAGCCAUGCCGCGUGUGUGAAGAAGGCCUUCGGGUUGUAAAGCACUUUCAGCUGUGAGGAAAGGUGUGUAGUUAAUAGCUGCAUACUGUGACGUUAACAACAGAAGAAGCACCGGCUAACUUCGUGCCAGCAGCCGCGGUAAUACGAGGGGUGCGAGCGUUAAUCGGAAUUACUGGGCGUAAAGCGUUCGUAGGCGGUUGAAUAAGCAAGAUGUGAAAGCCCAGGGCUCAACCUUGGAACUGCAUUUUGAACUGUUCGACUAGAGUACUGUAGAGGGGGGUAGAAUUUCA